AUCACGGUCAAGAUUUUUUUUUCAGUCACGUUUUUUUUUAAAUGGUUCCUGGUUCUUUGCACAUCACCUUUGUCGACAUGCCGAAGCGCGAUUGGUUGCUGCCACCAUGCUAAUCCAUCAAAGUUACGUGAAUAACGUAAAUAACUGGAAAUGCGGAUUGUUAUGUUACGAGGUUAUAAUGAAUGAGCGUAUGCGGAUUUUUAUCUUGGAUUUGAAGGGCACCUACAACUUCUUUUUGCAGCCUCUGUUUUCCUGUAAGAUACUUACAGCCUACAGCGAUCUUAAAGGAUAAAUUGAACACGAACUGUCUAUUGUGGCACAAACAGCUUUUUAACACAUUCAAGAUGCUAGCACAGAAGGCCAAUGACCGGUUCCAAACAAAGCCCUGACAUCAUCAGUUUUCCUUUUGAUUUUUUUAUUGAGUAACCAUCCGUAAAGACGCGUGUCGAUAUUUACGGUAAUAAUUUCAAAAAGAAAAAUGGGGCCAUUGCUUCUUUUCGGCUAGAAAUUAUUGCUUUCCAUCUUGCAUAUGAAAAGCGACAUAUGAAAGCUUGCAGUUGCUAGGCAGAAACACCACAGGAUUUUCCGAACUGCCAGACUAUGUUUGAUAAACGGAAGAUUAAUGAGACAAACAAAAAAAGAAUGAAACAGGCCCGAACCGGUUUGAGCUGGCUUGCACCACCUAAACAGGUUACAUCCUCUACAGAAAUUACGUUUGGAAAAUUCCCAAAUGCGUAAUGGUAGUCAGACCAAAACAAAAACAAAAAUACCUGUUCUGUUUGUAUACAACACAUGUCAGUUGAUGCGUGUCAUUCGGCUGAUAGAAAAACAACUUUCUUAAGCUUGCGUUACGAUGGGUGAAGUUCCUGCAGCGAUGAUGUGUUACACCUCGGCAAGUCUUGCUUUAAUCAAGUUAACUGGAAAAGUGACACGAUAUGCAGAUUUAUUUAUUUGUGCGUACGAAUAUUGAGAUUAUAUAUUAGCAAGGUAAGUGUAUGCACUCGUAUGUUCGACAAUUUAUCAGCAUUUCAGAUUGCUUGGAAAACAUUUUUCUACGUCAAAACAGCUUCAUUAAUUCUUGCGGUGGUAAAACAGAUUUUACUUUUAUGGAAGGGGUAAUAUUAUUUUCAAGGAGAAGAACACGCAGCGGCUGCCAACUUGCUGGUGUCGUUGAAAAAUUAUGAUGUCCUAAGAAGAACGUUGGCGAAUUGCCAAUACUUGUUAACGACACGAAUUCGCCGUGACAUCUGGGGUCGCAGGGUACAAACCAGGUAUAUUCAAGGAUUGAUCUUGACAUAGUUUAGCGACCACAGAUGACCAACUACGUUCCGAAGGUAAGACACGUGAAUCCAUAAAGAAAUGUUUGCCUUGGUUCAGAUGGAUGGCCUUAAUUGAUUCGUCUUUUGCUAGAAAAACGUAGAUUCAGGGCAGAAUGUCUUUCACCUUUGGUUUUCUAGUUCCAUUAGCCAGCACUCAGUUUCUCUAUCUGCUCCGUCAUCUAUUAAUACAGGCCAAAGGCAGAACAAAGAGAAAUCAUGUUCUGGGAAUACCCGUGAUCGGUUGAAAUUUUUGACACUUAUCUCACGAUUCUACAAUGACAAGUAGGACAUGCAUCGAACCCGUAUAAUUGGGGUUUUCCGAAGUUCUGUUGAACACAACAAGUGUUACGAUUGCCGUUAAGAUAGCAGCAAAGUUUUCGAAUGGUAAAUUAAUUCAGCUUUAGUAACGCCGUUGAUUCCGUAUCGAACAAGACUGAAAACAUGUGCAUAAACAAUUAUAAUCGGCAGAUAUUCGUCUGCAUUAGGUACGGCCAGCUAUUGACAUGAUUGUCAAGUU